ACACGCUCUUCAGCACUUAAGGAGGAUGAAAGAGGAAGAGGUUAUGCUGAUAAUACAUUCUGCUAGAACGAAAAGAAAGUAGUACGAAGAGGGGAGACGAAAGACGAGAACAAUAUUUCGGGGUGGGCCAAGUGAAUUUUGGGUGGGGGCCAGGUAGGUUUCGAGCAUGGAUGAACUUAAUUUUUGAGUUGGGCAAAGUCAAAUUUUUUUUUUUUGGAUGUGGGCCAUAGCGUCCGUGCGACGGCAUGGCUGUUCACCGCAGGAUUUUGCAGUGCGAGCUGCAGCAGGUCCAGCGCCGGGAAGGUGACGUCAUCACUUGGUCACGUUGGUUUUGGUGCCAUCGUAUGUUAACGCCGGACGCCGUAUUUCUCGCUUCAUGAGGAAUAUAAUGCUUUCGCAUUAAAACAGUACACUCGCGGGCGAACGUAUGAGAAAGGCGCGUAAAAUGUACUAAUAUUUCAGCAGCAAUAAAGAAAAAGGACAACAAUAUAACACUGACACAAACAACCCUGGACGUAUUUGAUAGCUAGAACGAGACAUCGAUGCCGACCCGAAGGUUGAAAACUUCGGCUGAGCUGUCGUAGUUUAUUUCCUUACGACACGUGCCGCAUGAACGUGUUUCAGUCUCUAGGUUCAAUGUCACGUUGUGUAUCUACGCCAGUACACCCUUACAGGUGCGCACAACUCCUGCAGUAAACGAACACGCCAUCGGGAGAACUUCGAGAGAUCCGGUCCUGUAAUCUUUCUUUCCUACGCAAAAUGGCAAAAAGAGAAAGUCCUGGUCGCUGCGCAGCAUUUAGUACAAGCCUGUUUUGAGCUACUGAAGCACCACGUGACUGUCCGAGCUUUCAUUUGAUGCGUAGUUCAAACGGGCGAUACGACCAAUAUAAAGCGAACGCUUCGGUUCCUACUUCGCCAGUUUCUCUGGAGCCACGACCACCGUUAUGAAGAACUUGGCUUGGAUAUUAGCCCUGACGCUGCUGUCGGCAGCCUUGCUCACGGAGGCCCAGCAAUACCCGGGACAGGGAGGAUUUCCACGGCCUGGUGCAAGGCCGAGAUGUGGCAACGUAUUUUGCCGCCCUGGACAACGCUGCAUCUAUGAAAAAGUUGUUUGCAUAAGGUCACCAUGCCCAGCAAUUCCUCAAUGUGUAUGAGAAGGCAGCUACAGGAGUUUGCUCUGCACUGUUUACCAUCCACGCUACUACAUGCAGUGCCAUAUUUCCAUAUACAAUAAAAAAA